AGCAAUACCGCACUGAUAUGGAUAUGGAUCAAAAGUAUCUCGAAGGAUACAUAAGCUCUCCAUACCCCACUCCGACGCAAUAACUCAAUAAUUCCACGACGUACAGAACGGUUAUAUAUUUCGCCAAAUAUCUGAGGUAUACGGGAAAUCCGUUGGAAAGAUGGGUUAUAUGACUAACUUGAGCGGA
rfam:Anopheles funestus strain FTMOZ unplaced genomic scaffold supercont1.424, whole genome shotgun sequence.